UGAUAGCUCAGUUGGUGGAGCAUGAGAUGCUUAAUCUCAGGGUCGUGAGUUUGAGCCCUACAUUGGACAA